CUAUUGUUAACCUGUUAAACUUAAUUGAACUGGCCUUGGGCCCACUAUCAGGAAGCCCUGAUGUUGAAGUACAGGAGCGAUCUAAGAAUGUGCUUGGAUUUGUUGACCUGAUAAAGCAAGAAAUAUCCAAUGGUUUUGUUUCCGAGAGAGCAUCCAAAAUUAUUGACAUGGUGCAUGAUGCCUUCACCGAGGAGCUUGGGCCAGUCUCAGUAAAUGCUCAAGAGAAAGUUCCUAUUCCUGAUGGAUUAAUGCUUAAGGAGAAUCUUGCUGACUUGGACGCAAUUUGUGGAAAUGUACAGUUACCUUCAUCAAUUUCAUUUUCCAUGGGAAGUCCUUUUGGGGAGAGUGUUGGUGCUUCUGUCUCUAUCCCCCAAAGCAAAGAAGAGUCAGAACCAUCAAGUGAGUCCACUUCUUUGCUUGCAGAACACCGUAAGAGACAUGGGUUGUACUACCUACCGUCAGAGAAGAAUGAAACUUUAGCAAAUGAUUAUCCGCCUGCGAAUGACCC
rnacentral:misc_RNA from 1 species